CGGCCGCAAGGCUAAAACUCAAAUGAAUUGACGGGGACCCGCACAAGCGGUGGAGCAUGUGGUUUAAUUUGAUGCAACGCGAAAAACCUUACCUACUCUUGACAUACUUGGAGGCUCUUGUAAUGAGAGUGUGCCUUUUGGAACCAAGAUACAGGUGCUGCAUGGCUGUCGUCAGCUCGUGUCGUGCGAUGUUCCGUUAAGUCGGAUAACGAGCGCAACCCUUACCCUUAUUUGCCAGCGAUUCGGUCGGGAACUAUAAGGGGACUGCCGGUGAUAAACCGGAGGAAGGUGAGGACGACGUCAAGUCAUCAUGGCCCUUACGAGUAGGGCUACACACGUGCUACAAUGGGGAAUACAGACGGACGCUAAGCCGCGAGGUGGUGCUAAUCCUAAAAAAUUCUUCGUAGUCCGGAUUGGAGUCUGCAACUCGACUCCAUGAAGUCGGAAUCGCUAGUAAUCGCGGAUCAGCAUGCCGCGGUGAAUACGUUCUCGGGUCUUGUACACACCGCCCGUCACACCAUGGAAGUGGAUUGCACCAGAAGUAGAUAGUCUAACCUUAGGGAGGGCGUUUACCACGGUGUGCUUCAUGACUGGGGUG
rnacentral:rRNA from 1 species